rnacentral:rRNA from 1 species
ACGAGGUGGUGCAUGGUUGUCGUCAGCUCGUGUCGUGAGAUGUUGGGUUAAGUCCCGCAACGAGCGCAACCCUCGCCUCUAGUUGCCAGCAUUCGGUUGGGCACUCUAGAGGGACUGCCGGCGACAAGUCGGAGGAAGGUGGGAUGACGUCAAAUCAUCAUGCCCCUUAUGACCUGGGCUACACACGUGCUACAAUGGGCGGUACAAAGGGCUGCGAACCCGCGAGGGGGAGCGAAUCCCAAAAAGCCGCUCUCAGUUCGGAUUGCAGGCUGCAACUCGCCUGCAUGAAGCCGGAAUCGCUAGUAAUCGCGGAUCAGCAUGCCGCGGUCGAAUACGUUCCCGGGCCUU